UACGAAGGGGGCUAGCGUUGCUCGGAAUCACUGGGCGUAAAGCGCACGUAGGCGGCUUCUUAAGUCAGGGGUGAAAUCCUGGAGCUCAACUCCAGAACUGCCCUUGAUACUGAGGAGCUCGAGUCCGGAAGAGGUGAGUGGAACUGCGAGUGUAGAGGUGAAAUUCGUAGAUAUUCGCAAGAACACCAGUGGCGAAGGCGGCUCACUGGUCCGGUACUGACGCUGAGGCGCGAAAGCCAGGGGAGCAAACGGG
rnacentral:rRNA from 1 species